rnacentral:rRNA from 1 species
UAGGGAAUCUUCCGCAAUGGGCGAAAGCCUGACGGAGCAACGCCGCGUGAGUGAUGAAGGUCUUCGGUUCGUAAAACUCUGUUAUUAGGGAAGAACAAAUGUGUAAGUAACUAUGCACGUCUUGACGGUACCUAAUCAGAAAGCCACGGCUAACUACGUGGCAGCAGCCGCGGUAAUACGUAGGUGGCAAGCGUUAUGCGGAAUUAUUGGGCGUAAAGCGCGCGUAGGCGGUUUUUUAAGUCUGAUGUGAAAGCCCACGGCUCAACCGUGGGGGGUCAUUGGAAACUGGAAAACUUGAGUGCAGAAGAGGAAAGUGGAAUUCCAUGUGGAGCGGUGAAAAGCGGAGAGAUAUGGGGGAACACCAGGGGCGAAGGCGACUUUCUGGUCUGUAACUGACGCUGGUGUGCGAAAGCGGGGGGAUCAAACAGG